UUGGUGGUGACGUGUGAGCUGAUUCACCUGGACACUCAGCAAAAUAUGGACGCUACACCAUGAGGCAGGCACACGUUAAUACUCUAUAAGAGCACAUAAGCAUGAGGAUGUCCUCACACACGUGUAACCUAUCAGCUCAUCUGGCAGAAUAGAGAGAGAAGAGACAACACCACAUCUUCUGUUCCUGGAAAGCCUUCAGCCAUCCUUCAAUGACCAGUGUUGGGAGUAAUGCGGUACAAAAGUAAUUAAUUACUGUAAUGCAUUGCUUUUUGCUGUAAUGUGGUAAUGUAAGGCAUUACAGGGAAAGAAAAUGGUAAUAUUUACUCGGUACAAUUGUCAGUAACGCGGUA